AAGACUAUACUUUCAGGGAUCAUUUCUAUAGUUUAAUCUGUUAAAGCGCUGAAAUAAUUGUUUUAGUCUCAGAGCUUGGAUCUUGGCGUUUGGUCACAUUUGAGCCCAACCCACUCUGA
rnacentral:snoRNA from 1 species